rnacentral:misc_RNA from 1 species
AUAUGUAUUUAAAUAACUCAAUAAUUUGUCUAGCACCUCUUUCUCUCACAUACAUAUUUGUAGUAUCCAUACUCUAUGUUUUAAGGAUAAAUCGUAAUUUUGAGAAAGUAAGGUGCACUUUGGAGCAUUUUAUAAUUGGCCGCUUUAUAGGGCUAAGUUUGGUUUUUGGCACCAAUUUUUGUACAGAGGGAGGAAGACGAAUUAUUAGAGAGGGAAAGAAGGAAGGUUGAUUAGCUAAACCGCAAUUUGAGGUUCAGCCGAUCGUGAUUGGUGACAAAGGAAGUUCAUGUGUUUUGCAAUACAUCAACACCUGACAUUAUUUGAUGAUCUUGGGGAAUGGGGAAACGCACAAAUCAUCCAUUACCGGGUACCGAACUAAGCUCUCCACGUAGUCUAUACCAGAAACUGAAUCAUUAAUUCGUUUGCAUGAAACUUGUUGAUUCAUGAGAGAUUCGCAUUGGCAAACACUGUUUACAUGGUCUGGUGUAUAUAUAUGUAUAUAUAUGCUAAUUUCAUGUAACUGAUUGUCUAAGAAGGCAAACUUGAUUCCAUUGUCCAGAGUAGAAAAUUAUUACACAGGAUAACAAACGAAGACACAUCAGGGCACUGAAACCAAACAAAAAGACGAAAAGAAAUCAAACCAUGCUUCAAACUCAACAUAAAUUUUAAACAACCAAAAAGACAAAAAGAAAUCAAACCAUGCCUCAAACUCAAACUCAAGACAAAUUUUCCGAAGUACCCACUUCUAGUCCGCAUACCCACAACUAGGCCACUGACCCACAGUAACUUCCUGAUUCUCCACGCUUCCAAGAAAGACUUUUGUAAGAACUGUUUUAGACUGCAAAGAUUCUUUGAGUAGCUUCAAAGCCUGGCCAAAUAAGAAAUCAGUCAUAUCAGCCACUCGGCUAGCUAUGGCUAAUAAUUUUAUUGGAUAUAUACACAAAAUGAAUAGCUUAAUUACCUCAGCCAUGUCUAAAUCAACCACCCUUUCUUCAAGUGCACUUAAUUCCAGGAUCUUGAACUUGUUGAGCAGAGUAAUGCUUGAUAUGGAAGACAUAGGGCUCACCUCCAAAUUAUCCAUCACCAUGUAAGUUACCACACCCUUCACAAAACCCUUCUCAGCAGAAGGCACCUGCUCAUCACGAUAUCCUCUGGAAACGCAACUAGGACAAGUCCCAUUUGGUUCCUUAGCUGUGUUGUUGUUACAAUAUCGACAUUUGUAUAGUUUCGUGGGGAGUUCAUCACUAGACAAUAAGAGAGGGACUUCAGUGGCGGAGAUGGAAACUGUUGGCUUCAAAAUGGAUUCUUUAAUUUGGCUUGUGCUCAUGUAAGAUUCACCGAGUUCGUCAACGCUCUUAUACAGGUCCCCUAGGCAACCCACCAUGUCUUGCUCUGUUAAGAGCCUAAUUACAGACCCUAAAGGGAGAGUAAGAAGGUAUAGAAGGAAAUCGACAAAAUCUUUUCCUGCUUCUGCAAAAAGAACCUUGUGGCUCUUUUUGUCUAUCAGAAGCUUCAAGCUGACUUUGGAUGUUGCCAUAUUGCGUGGAUGAGGGUGACUAGAAUUU